CACCGCGGUUAUACGAGAGGCCCAAGUUGAUAGACAUCGGCGUAAAGAGUGGUUAAGGAAGUCUCAAAACUAAAGCCGAAUGCCUUCAAGACUGUUAUACGUUUCCGAAGGAAAGAAGCCCCACUACGAAAGUGGCUUUACUCCACCUGACUCCACGAAAGCUGUGAAA
rnacentral:rRNA from 1 species